GCCUACCCUCAGCCCACACUACAUCAUUCACCUAAUUUACUACAAAACAAAACAUUCUGCUCAUUAAGUAAAGGCGAUUGAAAAAUGACUAGGAGCCAUAACGGCAGUACCGCAAGGGAAACAUGAAAUAACAAUGAAAAUCAAAGCACAACAAAGCAGAGCUCCAACCUCGUACCUUUUGCAUCAUGGUCUAGCCAGUCCAACCAAGCAAAACGAAUUUAAGUUUGACCCCCCGAAACUAGGCGAGCUACUUUUAAACAGCCUCACGGGCCAACCCAUCUCCGUAGUAAAGGAGUGGGAAGAUUUAAAAGUAGAGGCGACACACCUACCGAGCCUAGAGAUAGCUGGUUAUUUAGGAAAGGAUUUAAGUCCCCCUUUAAGUUUUUUUAGUUUACCAAAACACAUAAUAAACUUAAAAGUUAUUCAAAUAAGGUACAGCCUAUUUGAACAAGGAAACAGCCUACAACAAAGGGUAACGCCCACUUCACGUGACCAGGUGGGCCUAAGAGCAGCCAGCCUUCAAAAAGCGUUCAAGCUUUACCACUAAUUUUUAUUAAUCCUACACUUAACACCCAGCCCUAAACCACUACUAAAUAACCCCAUACCCAUAUGGGGAAUAUUAUGCUAGAACUAGUAACAAGAAGUAGAGCUUCUCCUGAAUACUAGCAUAAGCUACAGUAUCAACUGUCCACUGGCAUUUACCGCUGCUCAACCCACGGUAGUAAUAUCACAAGAGAACCCUACCCUACCUAGCGUUAACCUAACACCAGACUAUUCCAGGAAAGAUUAAAAAAGGGGGAAGGAACUCGGCAAAUAUUAGCUCCGCCUGUUUACCAAAAACAUCGCCUCUUGACACACUAUUAGAGGUCCAGCCUGCCCAGUGACAAAGUUAAACGGCCGCGGUACCCUGACCGUGCAAAGGUAGCAUAAUCACUUGUUCUUUAAAUCAGGACUAGUAUGAAUGGCCUCACGAGAGCUACACUGUCUCCCCCCUUCAAUCAGUGAAACUGAUCCCCUCGUGAAGAAGCGAGGAUGAUCAUAUAAGACGAGAAGACCCCAUGGAGCUUUAAACUUGCACCACUGCCUUGCACCUUCACCUAAACAUCACGGCAUCCUGGCAACAAGUCUUUCGGCUGGGGCGACCACGGAGAAAAACAAAACCUCCAUGAUGAAAGGAACCCCCUAAUCAAAGGGCUACCACCCUAAGAAUCAAUAAAUUGACACAUUGACCCAAACAUUUUGAUCAACGAACCAAGUUACCCUGGGGAUAACAGCGCAAUCCAUUUCGAGAGACCCUAUCAACAAAUGGGCUUACGACCUCGAUGUUGGAUCAGGGUAUCCCAGUGGUGCAGCCGCUACUAAUGGUUCGUUUGUUCAACGAUUAAAACCCU
rnacentral:rRNA from 1 species